rnacentral:rRNA from 1 species
GUCCUAGCAGUAAACGGUGCACGCUUGGUGUGAGGGGAAUCGACCCCCCUUGUGCCGGAGCAAACGCGUUAAGCGUGCCGCCUGGGAAGUACGGUCGCAAGACUAAAACUCAAAGAAAUUGACGGGGACCCGCACAAGCGGUGGAGUAUGUGGCUUAAUUCGAUGCAACGCGAAGAACCUUACCAAGGCUUGACAUGGAUUUCUAAGCACGUGAAAGCGUGUGACCCUUCGGGGAACUUCCACAGGUGCUGCAUGGCCGUCGU